GAUGAAGAACGUAGCGAAAUGCGAUACGUAAUGUGAAUUGCAGAAUUCAGUGAAUCAUCGAAUCUUUGAACGCAUAUUGCGCUCUCUGGUAUUCCGGAGAGCAUGCUUGUUUGAGUAUCAGUAAACACCUCAACUCCCUUUUCUUUUUUGAAAUGGGAGCUGGACUUGAGUGAUCCCAACACUUUUCUCACUGGAAAGUGGCGGGUCACUUGAAAUGCAGGUGCAGCUGGACUUUUCUCUGAGCUAUAAGCAUAUCUAUUUAGUCUGCCUAAAAAACAGAUUAUUACCUUUGCUGCAGCUAACAUAAAGGAGAUGAGUUCUUGUGCUGACUGAUGCAGGAUUCACAGAGACAGCUUUGCGGCUGACUUUGUAAACUCGAUCUCAAAUCAAGUAAGACUACCAGCUGAACUUAAGCAUAUCAAUAAGCGGAGGA
rnacentral:misc_RNA from 1 species